UUGCAACAGCGAGCGCGACGUGAGACAACAGAGGCUGCGUGCUUCCCUGUAGAAGAGGCACACAGAGAGAACACAGAUGACGCCUGCUUCUAGAGGAGCCUUAAAUAAAGAUGCCGUUCCAGAAUCUGCAGGAGGAGCUCUUCACAGAGCGUCCACUUCAGCAGCAGCAACAAGCUGAGACUUUCCCGUUGGGGUUAUAAUCUUGUUGAAGGCAUUCCCUGAACACAAGUCCUUUCCAUACUGUAAAGUACACUGGAUUCUCUCUGCACCUAAAUCUCCAUAAAGUGAAGCUCACUGGACAACUCCCACACCUCCCCGUAUCUGAGGAACCUCCCUGCCAGUGUGACAGGCCAUGGAAACAUUUACUGUGAGACAAACCCACCCCAGCCUGGCUCCUGUGCUCACCUGUCUCCCCCAACUGCUCAUUAUAAGUCAGUAAGGAGCUCCAGGCUGCCAGGUCCAGAGAAGCACCCUCUCUUGAAUGCUGCUGCUUGACAGUACCCGCCCAAGACAACUGUGUGUGCAGUCAUCCCACUGCCUCCGAGCCUCAGACCACCUGUCUGCCCACUGAUGCUCUACUGGAAUGUGCCGGAAGUCAACAUGCAAAACCCAACUUGUGCUCUGCGAGAUUGGCCCCCUAAGGAUCUUCUUUAUUCUCCUUUCAGGGAGCAGGUGCCACGUGUGAUUCUGUCACUUAGGGGAAGAGGGGAGUGAGUCCUUGUGUCCCUUUUCUCACUUCUCAAACUGACCUGAGCGACUGUAUGACAAACGUCAGAUUGCUGCAUCCGCUCUAAGUCCAUACUCUCACAUGCCUGAGCUAUGUUGCUGCUGCUUUGAUUCCUUUUCCACACCUCUUUCUAAGCAGCACCCCAGGGGUGUUUCUUGGUCUUGUCUAUUUGUUUGAGACAGGGCCUCUCUACAUAGGCCUGGCUUUCUCAGAAACCAAGUUCAGAAUAAAAUGCACCUUCCUUAUCUUCA